GCUCUCUGUUGUGUGGUACUCAGUGCAGGAUCCGCUCGGGAGAGCUGGGGCGAGGCUGGCUGAGGUUCUCAAGGAGCUGAGUUUUGAGUUCAGGUGCCCGCCCGGCUGUGGAAUGAUGCUUCCAGACCUUUCAGACCUUUGAGACCUCUGGGCGCUCUCAGACAGCACUUCAAGCCUCCCGUCGGCAUCCGGCGGCCCAAGGGAGUCCCAGGGAAAGGCGGCAGAGAGGCGAUGGAUGGAAAGGUGGCGGGUAACCCCAAGGUGCUCACGACAGCAUCCCGGAGAUUCCACACCACUGGCUGCUCCCAAGCACGAAGCCACCUUCCCCGGGAGGUGACAGGAAGCCAGCCUGGAGGAGGCUCCCCUUUUUGGCCAGAGGACCGACCACCUUCUCGGGUGUCCUGGGAACUGCCGGAGGACAUAGAGGGGGAUGCUGCUGGUCCCCAGGACAGAACCCAGCAGCUGGAACCCAGAAGCCCCCAGCCCGGGACUCCAGCCCAGCCUCCUUCAGACUGUGCUGCCUGAGCGGCGGUUCAGAUUGGACUAUUUUUGCUUUGUUGUCACCUCACUGACACAUAAUCCUGGAUGCUUUUCAAUGGUCGGCUUUUCUUUUUCCCCUCCAUCUUUUCUUUUUCUGGGCCCUGGGGAUUGUAAGAAAAGAAUUACUUGGGAAAAUAUAAUUCUGUUGCCGAAAUUAGCCUUGUUUAUGAACAAAUUCUGUCCCUAGGGAUUUUCUGAAUUGCAAUUCCAGAGUACCUCCUAAAUGGUGUUGCGUGGUUCGAUGUGCAUGGUUCUGAUCCUUAGAUUAAAAAUACAUUUACUUUUCUUCCUUUUUUUUUUUUCCUCCACAUUGGGAGCCAGGUAAUGGCCCAAGUCACAUUUACUUAACUACUGAAGCGGUCUCGGUGCAGUGUUGCUUCAAGUCUAAUCAAACGUAUAUUGUGAGGAGGGUGCAGCUCAGUGGUGGCGCGCAUGCUUAGCAUGCACGAGGUCCUGGGUUCAAUCCCCAGUGCCUCCAUUAAAAAAUAGAAAGAUAAAUUAAAAACACCCGAAUUACUCCCCCACCAAAUGAAAGGGAGGGAGACAGACAGACAGACAGAAGGAAAGAAAUGGCCUUUAAAAAUUAUACAUUAUACCCUAGACUCUUGCACCAUAUCUGGUAUGUAUGUUACUUUGCACCUUGUAGAUUGAAAUUUAAUUCCUGACCGAUCCUGCAGCUGGAAUGGGGGAGAAAUGAUGCGUAUCAAAGUGCCUUUAAACACCCUGAACGUAAACUAACCCACAGUAAGUGGGUGGUUUUCGGAGGCGGAGCCGAGACCGGGGACCCCCUGCUUGGCUGGCUGUUCUGGAGGAGGUGGGAACGAGGCCCCUUCUUCUGUGUCUGGGUCUGCUUCUGGCUGGGGUCCUGUAACCGUGCCUGCCUCGCAAUAAAACACCUUCAGCUGACUCCGCGGCGAGGUCUCUGUCCGAUUCCUGUGAUGCUGUGUCCUCGGUGGCUUUGCAGGGGUCCGGGGUGGCCCUGCACUGGGUCGGCCCGCUGGGGAUCCCAGUGGGAGGCGGUGCCGCGGCUCCUUUGGAAACAGCUAGGCGUGGGGUCAGUGCGUGUGACCAGCGCUCCUGCUCUCCGUAUGAGAGUUGGUUCUAGAAAUCUCUGCUCAUCACAGAGCCCUGCUGGGUCAGUGAGCUGCGCCCUGCCCUCGCUUUCUCCCUCUGGAGCCCAUUUGUUUCCGUGAGACCCUCAGACAAGCCCCCAGCCCUCUGAACCUCAGUUUCCUCAUCCACAAAAUAUGUGGCUAUGUGAGGGUAGUGGCGCUUCCCGCAGUGACAAGUGCCCUUAGAAGGACGGCCCGUGGGUGGUACUUAGAUGGGGGCCACGCCGGGCAGAGGCAGCACCGAGUGCAGGGUGGUGAGUGUAUUUGUUAAUCAAGAAUUGAAA